GCGGUGGCGUCCGUCUGCGUCUCGGGUACCUCUUCAGCCAAGCUGCGCGAGCUCUGCCAGGUGUCCACAUGCUCACCCUUAAAUCUCCCGGUCUCUCUCCUCCCAUUCCGAUCCCUAAACUUGCCCAGCCCGGACCCCUAUGAGCCUUUAUUACUAAAUCUGCUUGGGUCACUCCAGCCCCUCAUGCGAAAUUUUACAUCCGGUAUCCUCGAAGCGUGCCCCCAAAUCUCACAAUGGGCUACUUUACUUGUUUUAAAUCGAAAAACUGGUAGGAGUUUCAAGUGGACUGCAUUUGCUUCUGCUAUCCUAUUGCAUUUUCCUUCCCUUUGGACUUGGUCCAGUUAUUACCUAAUGAGAAGACCAGAAGUGUGAAGUUAAUCUGUCAUGGCCAGGAUUAAGACCCGCCCCGAACAUUGUGUGUUGACACUGCAUGGCCUUGGUGGCAUGCGUCCUGGGCCCGUGAAUAGCAGCUGCACGAAGGCUUGGAGACAUCUCCCCCCUGUUUACUAAUCCCUGGGCACCUCACCAUCCCUUAUUUGUUCCCUCAUCCUGUUCAUACCUCUUACGUGAUCUCCUCAUUGAAUUCUGUUCAGUAAUGUCCCUUUGAAAGUUUUGUCUGUUUUGUUGUAAGACCCUGACUGAUAUCAUUUGCCUUCACCCACCCAGGCAAGCAGUACUGUAAGAAACUCCCUAGUACAUCAUCAGUGGGUUGAACUCAGGCUAAAACAGUGAGAACUGCUGCUUGGGGCCAAACAUUCCACUAUAUUGAUGACACAAGCAUUGAGUGUACUUCAUGCAUUCCAUCAUGUCCCAUGUUGGAAAAAUUGACCAAAGAUGGAUGGGUUCAAAAACUUUUGGAGGUGAUGGAUAUGUUUAUUACCUUGAUUAUGGUGAUGGUAUCACAGGGGUAUGUAUAUGUCCAAACUCUUCAAAAUGUAUACAGUAAAUAUGUGAAACUUUUGGUAUAUAUCAACUAUACCUCAAUAAAUCUUUAAAAGAAAAAAAAAGAAGAAGAAGAAAUGAUUCUGCCACUCAUGGGACCUUCUUGGGUACUUCCUGUGUGGCUACUAGCUAUGGGACUGGAGGCCCAACCUCUGAUUGGCCUAUUUUAGAAACAAGACUCUCUGUACCUAGGAAUUUCACUACAGCCUUUAUAUACCAGACAAACAACCACACGUGGGGAGGGGGCACAUGUGGCAAGAAGCCUGGAAAGUGAUCCAGUCAUCAGUAAAGCAAACCUGUGCCGGAGGCCUCCUCUCCUAUCUCCUUACCACCCAUGGAAUCACAGGUAUCAGUGUUCAAUCUCGAAGCAGGUUGUAGACUGUGGAAAUGGGACUCUACUUUCUCGUCAGCCAGGUCUACAAGAACUUCCUUCUGUUGCCAAGCCUGAAGCUAGCCCAUUCUGGAAAAAGAGACUGUCAGUGAAAAGAAAAUGACUCUGCCACCUGACAUUCUCAACUUGCAUUGAGUCCUAUACCAUCUGAACUGGAAUACCCAGAAAGUUCUGUAGUGAUAUAGAAAUGGUCCCUCCAGUCAAGGCCCAAGCCUGUUUCCUGAUACCUCAGCCAACUUCAGGAACAGGUGGCUGCCCACCCGUUAGACACAGAGAGACCCACCUACUGUUAAGCGUAAGCAGUUGGCUCACUGGGGACCUCUUCAACAAGACUUCCAUAUGACAAAAAAGCAUGGUUCACUGAUGAAAUAGCUUGCUUCUGAGAUGGGCAAACCCCAUGGAAUGCCACAGCCAUAAAUUGUGGAGUUCAGCACUAGACAUACUGAACAAUGUGGUAAACUUCAGAUGCUAUUCUUGGCUGUAGGGCACGCUGCCCCAAGAUGGACAGAAACAAACCUUUACGCAGUGUGUCCAUUAGGGUCCUCCAAGAAACAAAUGCUGGGAUAGGAUUAGAUUCAUGAGAGAUGCACUGCGGUUGUGAGUAGAGGUUGUGAGGGAUAAAAAAUAGGGAGUGAGAACAGGCAAAAAGAGCCUCAGACCAUGAUGCAAUUCUGAUGCUUGGGAAAAGAGAAGGUGGAGGAAAGAGGAUUGGGAAGGAAGAAUCUCAGACUGGACUGCAGCUCUGAGAAUGUCUCAGCCAGGCCGAUGGAGAGUCCUUGAGCCAAAGCUGCCCACUGGAGUAGUCCAGAGACCCACGGGAUUGGCCUGCGCUAACACCCCAUCAUGGUCAGGCCUGGACUGGGAGCACCCCAGAGGAAGUGUGACCUUGAUGCAGAAACGUUGUGGGUAUCAAACGGGAGUUGUCAGUUAAUGAUGCUACCUGCAGCAGGAGAUCUGAGCUAUUUCCAUGGCUGUCACACACAGAACAUCCCUAAUGGUCUAGCAAUUGGUCAGACCAUUGGGACACCCAAAGACUGAAUUAAUAGAGGCAUAACAAUAUGGGGCAUCCCCUGUGGACAUAGUUACGAAGUGGCAAAAUCUAGAGGAAAACAACCUACUUAAAAAGACUGAUGAGGGUAUAUAUGGGCUUUGUGUCUAUCCAUGGCAGCCCAUUGAAUCUAUGCUCUAAUCCACUACACCAAUGGAACCACCAAAAGGAUGGGGAUACCCAACUGGAAAUUCUUUUGACACAAAUAGAAGCUACUGCUACUGAAAAAGCUUGCGUUCUUGUCCCACUCUGUCCAGUGAUGACCUGGUGGUCUCUACAAGCCUGGCCUGUUCAGCUGUCUUGGGCCAUUUGUAAGUUGCACACUGUCAUAGUACCCUCUGCCUUGACUGAGCAACUGGGCACCUGGGAGUCAAUGAGGAGGCACAGAGGAAAAUGUUAGUGGGAAGAGGACACUCUUCUCUCCACCCCACCCCCUUAUCAUGGAAUAACACACAGUUGAGGAAUGUAUCAGGUUACUUUGGGGAAAAAGAAUUCAUGCUCCAUAUUUCAAAAGAGGAAAUUUAACACAAAGAAUUGUUAGACAAUGUGGAAAGGCUGAAAGAGCAGGGAAAGAAUACUGAGGGGAUCCAGAAAUUAGGACUGCCAGAAGCAGCUACCACCCCAGGGCUCUGGAAACAAAACGGAAAAGAGCUUAUAGAACAGAGGAGCUGGAAGUAUGUGCCUGAGGAUCGAAUGAUCAGAUGUCUAAGGGAGGGAUCCCGUGCAGCUGGUGUCAAGAUCUCUGAGAGGGGUCACCUCACAGCUGGUGCUAAUGAAAUCGCUAGGUGGUGUUUCGGGGGGCCUUGAGGAGCUCUGGUGUUUUAUGCUUUAGCUCAGAAAGAAUUUGGUGAGAGGCAAAGUGAUAGAUAAGAAGUGAUUUAUUAGGCUAGGAUGCUUGUGAGGCUUACAAGCGGGUGGGUGAGAGGGUGCUGUGCCCCAAGAACUUAGUAGGCUACAGUUUCAUAAUUAAAAGAAAAGUGGGGAGGGGGAAAAGACCACUUUUUUUUUUUUUUUAGUAGACAUUAAACUUCCAUUUUUAGCUCCUCCUCAUCAGGUGGGGGAGUUUUCUUUUCCCUACAUGGUUAAGCCGGGACUGUCAGGGCACUCUGGUAAAAUUAUUUCAGGUUGUAGGACAAUGAGGGUCUUUCACUUUGAAAUGCCUCCUUUCCAUAAAUUAUUAUUUUUAUGUGUGCAGAGAUCACGUCCUAGGGAUUAUUAACUCACUGAGCUUACUGGGCAGGAUGUGGAUUUCAUGCCACCAUUGUUUUUUUGUUUGGGGGCAUGUCUCAUGCUUUUGUUGCGUGGUUUUGUUGCU